GAAGAGAAGAGGUAAAAUUGUCAUUAUAUUCAGAUGACAUGAUACUAUAUAUAGAAAACCCUAAAGGCUCUACACAAAAACUACUAAAGCUAAUAAGAGAAUUUGGCAACGUAGCAGGAUACAAGAUUAACAUACAGAAAUCAGUGACAUUUAUUUACACUAACAACACAAUAUCAGAAAACGAAAGGAACAGAUAGGUAGAGCACA